UUGCUCCCUGAUUCAGCGGCGGACGGGUGAGUAAUGCCUAGGAAUCUGCCUGGUAGUGGGGGACAACGUCUCGAAAGGGACGCUAAUACCGCAUACGUCCUACGGGAGAAAGCAGGGGACCUUCGGGCCUUGCGCUAUCAGAUGAGCCUAGGUCGGAUUAGCUAGUUGGUGAGGUAAUGGCUCACCAAGGCGACGAUCCGUAACUGGUCUGAGAGGAUGAUCAGUCACACUGGAACUGAGACACGGUCCAGACUCCUACGGGAGGCAGCAGUGGGGAAUAUUGGACAAUGGGCGAAAGCCUGAUCCAGCCAUGCCGCGUGUGUGAAGAAGGUCUUCGGAUUGUAAAGCACUUUAAGUUGGGAGGAAGGGCAGCUAAUUAAUACUUCGCUGUUUUGACGUUACCGACAGAAUAAGCACCGGCUAACUCUGUGCCAGCAGCCGCGGUAAUACAGAGGGUGCAAGCGUUAAUCGGAAUUACUGGGCGUAAAGCGCGCGUAGGUGGUUUGUUAAGUUGAAUGUGAAAUCCCCGGGCUCAACCUGGGAACUGCAUCCAAAACUGGCAAGCUAGAGUAGGGCAGAGGGUGGUGGAAUUUCCUGUGUAGCGGUGAAAUGCGUAGAUAUAGGAAGGAACACCAGUGGCGAAGGCGACCACCUGGGCUCAUACUGACACUGAGGUGCGAAAGCGUGGGGAGCAAACAGGAUUAGAUACCCUG
rnacentral:rRNA from 1 species